UACGUAGGUCCCGAGCGUUGUCCGGAUUUAUUGGGCGUAAGCGAGCGCAGGUGGUUUAAUAAGUCUGAUGUAAAAGGCAGUGGCUCAACCAUUGUGUGCAUUGGAAACUGGUAGACUUGAGUGCAGGAGAGGAGAGUGGAAUUCCAUGUGUAGCGGUGAAAUGCGUAGAUAUAUGGAGGAACACCGGUGGCGAAAGCGGCUCUCUGGCCUGUAACUGACACUGAGGCUCGAAAGCGUGGGGAGCAAACAGG
rnacentral:rRNA from 1 species